rnacentral:tRNA from 1 species
GGCCUAUUAGCUCAAUUGGUUAGAGUGUCGUGCUAAUAAUGCGAAGCUCACAGGUUUGAAACCUGCAUGCGCCA